AGAGUUUGAUUCUGGCUCAGGACGAACGCUGGCGGCGUGCUUAACACAUGCAAGUCGAGCGGAGAAUAUAGCAAUAUAUUCUUAGCGGCGGACGGGUGAGUAACGCGUGGGUAACCUGCCUUUUACAGGGGGAUAACACUGGGAAACUAGUGCUAAUACCGCAUAAAAUAGUGAAGUGGCAUCACUUUACUAUCAAAGGAGCAAUCCGGUAAAAGAUGGACCCGCGUCCGAUUAGCUAGUUGGAGGGUAACGGCCCACCAAGGCGACGAUCGGUAGCCGAACUGAGAGGUUGAUCGGCCACAUUGGGACUGAGACACGGCCCAGACUCCUACGGGAGGCAGCAGUGGGGAAUAUUGCGACCAAUGGGGGAAACCCUGACGCAGCAACGCCGCGUGAAGGAUGAAGGUUUUCGGAUUGUAAACUUCUUUGAUUGGGGACGAUAAUGACGGUAACCCAAAAACAAGCCACGGCUAACUACGUGCCAGCCGCCGC
rnacentral:rRNA from 1 species